UCCUAGUGUUCUGGGAGUGGAUUGGCUGGCAUUCAUGCUGGAACAUCAGCAGUGUGUCACGCUUUAACACCGGCCUGUCACAAACUCUCCGGAUGCACGGAGCCAAGUAGUGCAAGUUCUGGGACAGUUUCCCUGCCAAAACUGCGGUGUGUUGCAGCGCCAUAUGUCUCUACAUUCCUUCCACAUUCCUUCUCGCCUGAACGUGAAGAUAAACCCGAUGCUUUCACUCGACUGAUGUGUAUCUUUCAUUUGAUGUGACGUUGAAUGGCCUGUGACAGCGAAGGUCCCCCUUUUUUUCCAAUCCAUCUCGAUGCUUGUGCAGGAGACUGUUGGGUUCGUGGGUGAGGCUCUUCCAGGUCCAUCAGGCUGAACAAACUUCAGACGGCAUAAAAGGCUUUUCUCAAAAGCAAACGGAAGUCAUCCAUUUUCAAUGAGAGAUGACACGAGUGACAGCUGGCGAAAUGACAGGCCCCUAACCGUAAGUAUAAGUAUGGUCCAUAAGGUACACUGUAAAAAAUGUCCAUGAUUUCAAUGGUAAAAAUCUGUGAAGUUGUUAAAAUCUACAAUAAAAAAAUGUAACCUGCCAGCAAAAAAAAAAAAUACUCUAAUUGCAACAGUAAAAAAAAAAAAUGUAAAAAUACAUAAAUAUAGUAACAAUCUGUUUCCUUCUAUAUAUAAAUUAAUUACGGUUAAUAACUGAAAAUUGACUUUCCCAGAAUCCCACUGUAAAAAAAAAUGUGAUUUUAAUGAUAAAAAUAGUAAAGUAUCUCUGCAAUUCCAGUGGUAAAUAAAAAACUAUUAAAAUACUACAGUAACAAUCUGUUACCUCAACAUAUAUAAGGUUAAUAACUGUAAAUUGACUUUCC
rnacentral:lncRNA from 1 species